ensembl:lncRNA
GUUCAGUCAUCCCUGUUUCCUGAAACCAUAGUAACCAGGGGAGUGAUGUAAGGGACCCCCAGAGGGACAAACUGAACAUACAAGAGCCAGGAGAGAGGGGAAGGGAUAAAGGGAGAUGGAUGGAUGGAUGGAUGGAUGGAUGGAGGGUCUGGAUGUUGACAGAUGGAGAGAGACAGGGAGGGGAAGUAAUGUAGAGAGGGAGGGCUGCGCAAUCACAAAGGCUGACAUUUGUGUGAGAGGAUGGGGGAUAAACGAAAGGAAGAUGACAGCCAGGGAGCAGAAGAGGGAGCCAGGAGAAGCAGGAGGGGGGGGAUAAAUUAGUACAUUAAUGUUGCAGCAGAACCGCUGAGAUUAACACACAGAGAAUUUGGGGAGUUAGAGGUGUGUGUGUGUGUGUGUCAGCCAGCUAUAGUAGGGUUAAUUUAAAGUGUCAAUGUUAUUUUGACUGCCUCCCUAUUAAAAAUGUCCUCCCUUCCUCUGCCUCAGUCCAUUUUAUGUCAUCAUUGGAAUGUGGUGUGUUCAUUUAAAGUCAUUGUUUUCCCUGUGAUGUUUUGGAACACGCGCAAACCUCUGAAGUAGUUAACGAAUCCUGUUUACAUUUAUCUUCUAAUCAUGCUGCACAUCUAUCUUCCCCUCCCUCCAACCGUCUCUCUUCCUCACACCCGUUCAUGUCCUGACCUUUCUCUCUUUUUAAUAUUCUUCUGUUUCACCCUUUCCAACUCUCUAUUCCUCUUAAUUCAUCUUCUCCUCCUCCCCAUCUUUCAGUCUCUGAUUGCUUUGUUUCUGUUGACUGCUGGUCUUAAAUGGGGCAGGCAUUCCCGUCUGUGUACCUGUAUGAUGGUCUGCUGCAGACGGAGGAGCUGCAGUGCACCAUGACUGCAGAGGAGUUAUGAAAUAUCUAGACCUACAACUAAUAUGUAGAUCUGUAUGAAAUAUAUCUAGACCUACAACUAAUAUGUAGAUCUGUAUGAAAUAUAUCUAGACCUACAACUAAUAUGUAUGAAUAAUAAAAAAUAAACUCAACCUGGUUGCAUAAGUGUGCACACCCUUAAACUAAUACUUUGUGGAAGCACCUUUAGAUUUGAUUACAGC